UUUUUUCCAGUACACAAGUAAGGGUAUUCACACAAGGACACUGUAAUGAUAUAGCUUACCAAGACCAGAAAUAAAGUGCUGUGUAUAUGUUAUCAUUAUUUAUGGGUCUAUGGAAAACCCAGCAGUGGAGAUGAGUCCAAUGAUGAGUAAUGAAGAUAUGUAUGUUGUAGUUGUUGUCUUGAAUUUGGUUCCUCCGUUGCAUUUGUUCAAAGAACUGAAGAUCAGGAAGUAUAAAAAUAACAGGACUCUACAAAUAUUUUUAAAAUUUCUAGACUGUACUUGAAAUAAUUCCAUUUGAUUCUAUAUGCUUUGCUAUCCCCAAAGUAGGAAUUUUGUGUGUUAAGAGAACUAGUACCACUGUCUGAUAAUCAGCUUCUGAAGAGGGAAAGCCUUCAGAUCAUCUGAACAUCAUACAUUUCAUAAUUAAAACAAAUCUCUUACCUUCUAUAAACAUUGACUCUGUGAAACCCAACUGCCACCAGGUUGCUUAUAAGCAACACUGGCGUUCUACCAGAGUAACAUCAGAGAACUUGUUAGAGAGUGAAUACUGGGUUGAGAGAUAGAGAAAAAAAGGUUUAUGAAUCUUCUGUGUCCAGAUGAAUCCCUGUUGAAUUCUAAGUCUGUUGUGGUGACUUAAUCCACAGCCCAUUCAGUGCUCCUUACUACUACCUCUGAAAUCUGACUACACAUUCUAUCUGUGGAUCUAGGAACCUUGCAGAACUCAAGUUGAGUCUCACCAGGAAGCUGAAGUAACAUGUAUUAUGCAGAGAAAGUAUUCCUCUGAAUAUAGAAUACUGUCCAGAAUAUAAUCUCCAAUGAACAAACAGGUGUUUAUAUGGUCGGUAAAAAUCCCAGUUCUGGGGUGCCUGGGUGGCU